AGAGAUGGAUUGGUGCCUUCGGGAACUCUGACACAGGUGCUGCAUGGCUGUCGUCAGCUCGUGCCGUGAGGUGUCGGGUUAAGUCCCCAUAACGAGCGCAACCCCUACUGCUAGUUGCCAGCGGGUCGAUGCCGGGGACGUCUAGCGGAACUAGCCAGCGUAAGCUGCGAGGAAGGUGGGGAUGACGUCAAAUCAGCACGGCCCUUACGUCCAGGGCUACACACGUGUUACAAUGGCCGGUACAGAGGGCAGCCACCCCGCGAGGGGGCGCGAAUCCCGAAAGCCGGUCCCAGUUCGGAUCGGAGUCUGCAACCCGACUCCGUGAAGCUGGAUUCGCUAGUAAUCGCGCAUCAGCCACGGCGCGGUGAAUACGUUCCCGGGCCUU
rnacentral:rRNA from 1 species